CACCACAAUCUCUCCACUGCCAAGAGGUCAGCUAUACAGUCCCUGAAAUCCAGCCACCAUACAGUGAUCAAAGCAGCAGCCAAAGUGAACGCCCUCAUAUUCCUCAGCUGUGAUGAGUACAUCAACAAGGCCAACUGACAAGUCUCCAACCCCACCCUCCUCUAAGGAAUUCAAAGAAGACCCCCACACCACAAAGGAAUUUAUGGAUAUCAUCAAAUCCUUCCCCAGACAAUUCCAAGAGAAACUCUACAACCUCCUCCCCCAUGAACCUACCCCAGGGAACUUCUACGUGUUUCCCCAAGAUACAUAAAUUAGCGAAACCAGGCAGACCCAUCGUAUCUGGCCACAGCAUGCUUAUGAACAUGAGAACUCACAGAAAUCAUCCUCAAAACACUCACCACAAAAAGGGCAAGUUUUCUCCAGGAAACAAGCGAUUUCAUCCAGAAACAUCACAAUAUUAACAAUCUCCCUCAGCAUAUUAUACUUGCCACCAUGGAAGUCACCUCCCUAUCUAGCAAUAUCCCUUACCAUGACAGCCUCUCUGCCUUCCUCAGAUAUCUUCACAACAAUGAACAGCACUCAUAUAUCCACCCAAAACACAUCGAACUCAUCCAUUCCAUCUCACCCUUAAGAACUUUACAUUCAACAAGCACUUUUUUCCAAACCACGGGAACAGCCAUGAAUACUAGGAUGGCUCCCCAAUAUGCCAACUUCUUCAUAGGUCACCUCAAGGGAGAAUUUCUGGAAAUAUGCACCAUAAACCAAUGAAAUACCUGAUAUACAUCAAUGAUAUUUUUAUUGUCUGGACAGAUGACCUAAACUCCCUCAGAGAUUUUCACCACAACUUCACAAACCACCACCUAUCCUUCACUCUUUCUAGAACACUCCCAUACCAGCAUCAACUUCCAGGACACUAUGAUCAGCUUCUGCAAUGGAAAGCUAUAGAAAACUAUACACAAGAAGCCCAUAGAUCACCAGACUUACCUCCAAAGAUCCAGUAACCACCCAGACACACCAAGAAAUCUGUUAUCUACAGCCAGGCAAUCAGAUACCGCAGAAUAUGCUCCAAGAAGAAAGCCUUAGAUACACCUUAACACACUUAAAACCACCUUCACCAAACAAAGACACUCCACCAGAGAAGUAGAUCACCUCAUGGAAUAGGUUACACAAACACCUCAAGAGAACCUGCUUCAAUACAGAACAAAAAAAAACCCAAACACUGACUGUAUACCCCUAAUUGUAACUUACCACCCCACACUGGAACUCUCAUGAGGUAUCAUCAAAUAAUUACAACUCAUACUUGAUGGGGACCACAUCCUGAAAGAAAUCUUUCCCAAACCCUCUCUUCGGAACUUCAAACAACCACCAAAGCUCACCAAGCUCAUAAUCAGAAACAUGCUCCCUAUAGACCAGGACUUACCAACUCAAAGCAGCACCAGACCCUGCCAAAACAACUGAUGCAAAACGUGCAGCCAUGCUACAAUGAUCACCGCCACCCACAACACACCUUUCAAGAUCCAAAUGUAUAUCACAACAUGUGGUGUACCUCAUCCAGUGCAUCAAAUAUCCCAUCCUUUAACUUGUCCCAGCUCAGAUUUAAAUCAAAACCUGUUCCAGUACAAGGAUUUAAGUCUUAUUGGAAAGACCAGACUGAGGUGGGCAUGGAGUCUACAUAUUAGUCUACCCUCCAGAUGAGAACAGAAUUGAGGCACAAUGAGUUGGCAGCAUGAAGAAGCUUGAAGUGUUCCUGCCAGAUCUAGUGUGCAAGAAAAAAAUUACAGAUUACACUGGUAAAGAAUUCCGAACAACUCCUCCAAUUUCACGUUAAGGGUUUGAGAAGACCAGAGAAUCUCUGACCAUGAAGAGGAAGAUCACAGCUGUCAAAACACAAACUUCAGGCUAUACACUCUAUUCAAGGUGGCAGUCCCACUGAUGUCAAGUUGUAAUGAAGAGAUACUGCAGAGGGUAAAAUCCUCCACACUGCUAUAUGCUGCAAGGCCAUAAAUACUGGAGAUCUACACGCAUUUCCAUCAAUAGCAAUCUAGACCAAGUCAUUCAAAAAUGUCAAGAAUAUUUUGAUCCACACUUCGGAAAGGCACUUUCUCAAUACAAGACACCAGCUGCCAAGUGAGACCAUUGAUCAUUAUGUGAAUGAUAG